GUCUCCUACAACUUCGAGUGAAGAAAACUUAAAGCUUCAAUUUCGUCCUUGAACUUAGGCAUAGCAGCAACAGGGAGUGAUGUAAAUAUCCUAACUCCUCCUUCCAUUGAUAGAUCAUGAUCAUCAAGUUUAUUAGGAGAUGAGAAAAUACACGUAUCGAGGGUGCCAAGCAUCUUGCAUGGUGCAGUUAAAAAAUUCACUAAUUCAUAGCCUUCAAAAUUUAAAUUUUCCUGAAAACCCAAAUGUUUCAACUCACUUAGAGACGUUACUGCACCACUAGCUUCCAAUUCCAAAGAGUUUAUUGAGUUUGUAACAUAAUCAGCAGUGAAAGCAAUAUUUUUAGUCUCUUUAAUCAGCUUAAUGGUUUCAUAGAGUGGCAUUUCGUUGAGCUCACUCACUUUUAAAACAACAUUUACAUCUAUAGUAGAAUUUCCAUAAUACCCUUGCUGCAAUGGUCAACACUGUUUCACCAUUGCUGUUAAGUUUUAAGGCUCUUGCUCUUGACCUCCACACAUAACCUGCAAGCACUUCAAAAGUUGUGAACCUCAUUUUUUCAUUUUUAUUCAUCAAACUCAAUUUAAGUCCUGUUAUCAUUUCACCCUCUACUUUAAAACAAUAUUGUUUAAUUAUCGUAGUAUUAUUUUGAUUUACAAAGGGUGAAAGUGAAACAGAUUCUCGGUCCAUGGGACAUUGUGGAAAAGGUUUUAUAGCUAUUGAUCGAACUUGUUUUUCUCUUUCCCACACAGGUUUCACUGAUGGCUCAGUUCUUCCACUUCCAAGUUCAACAAUUGCUCUGAAGAUUUGUGAUGCGCCAAAUCCGUCACAAAUAGCAUGCGACAACCCCAUUCCAAUUGUGAAACCGCCACAAAGAAAUUUUGUCACCAUUAACACCAAAGGGUAACUUUUAUCCUUAGGAGAAGGAAUAUCAAGCACCAAGUCUUUUGCAAUUUCUGUGUCAGUAUUGUCCAAGUAAUGAAGAGAAGAAAGGGUGCAAUUAGCAUAUGCUUCUAAGAAUGGAACACCAUAUUCUGCACCACCUAGACCAAACUCGACUCUAAGUCUUCCAUCACCAGCAUGUUUCACUAGUCUACCUGGGAAACGCAGUGAGAUGUUGGUUUAGUGGUUUAGUAACAUUAUUUAUUUAUGCUAUAACAAUUCAUUAGUAACAUUUAUCUAUACUAUAUAUAAAGAAAAUACCUGCUUUGAGUUUUUUGGGAUGGUUUUUUCUCUUUCAAAAAAUGCCAUCAACUUUCAAUACAAAUAAUACAUGCAACAAAUAGAUAAUAGUCAAUUCAAAUAUUAAAAUAAAA
rnacentral:lncRNA from 1 species